rfam:Megamonas funiformis YIT 11815 genomic scaffold supercont1.4, whole genome shotgun sequence.
UCAAAUCCAAUGAUACAGAGUAGUAAAUUAUUUAAGGAUUUUUCAGAAAGUAGGCGGUUGAUGCGAGCCUAUAAUCAUGUAAUUGAACUCGCUGUGGAGGAGUGCAAAAGCACCGCUAAUCCCGUUAAGAUUUUAAAGAGGAUAACUUUUUGUUAUCAAUCAGGGUGGUACCGCGAUAAUUCGUCCCUGGC